AUGCGACCCCAGGAUGGGCGAGGCCACCC
rnacentral:rRNA from 5 species